rnacentral:rRNA from 1 species
UAGGGAAUCUUCGGCAAUGGGGGCAACCCUGACCGAGCAACGCCGCGUGAGUGAAGAAGGUUUUCGGAUCGUAAAGCUCUGUUGUAAGAGAAGAACGUGUGUGAGAGUGGAAAGUUCACACAGUGACGGUAACUUACCAGAAAGGGACGGCUAACUACGUGCCAGCAGCCGCGGUAAUACGUAGGUCCCGAGCGUUGUCCGGAUUUAUUGGGCGUAAAGCGAGCGCAGGCGGUUUAAUAAGUCUGAAGUUAAAGGAAGUGGCUUAACCAAUGAUCGCUUUGGAAACUGUUAAACUUGAGUGCAUAAGGGGAGAGUGGAAUUCCAUGUGUAGCGGUGAAAUGCGUAGAUAUAUGGAGGAACACCGGUGGCGAAAGCGGCUCUCUGGUCUGUAACUGACGCUGAGGCUCGAAAGCGUGGGGAGCAAACAGG